rnacentral:rRNA from 1 species
UGGGGAAUUUUGGACAAUGGGCGAAAGCCUGAUCCAGCAAUGCCGCGUGUGUGAAGAAGGCCUUCGGGUUGUAAAGCACUUUUGUCCGGAAAGAAAUCCUUGGCUCUAAUACAGUCGGGGGAUGACGGUACCGGAAGAAUAAGCACCGGCUAACUACGUGCCAGCAGCCGCGGUAAUACGUAGGGUGCAAGCGUUAAUCGGAAUUACUGGGCGUAAAGCGUGCGCAGGCGGUUUGCUAAGACCGAUGUGAAAUCCCCGGGGCUCAACCUGGGAACUGCAUUGGUGACUGGCAGGCUAGAGUAUGGCAGAGGGGGGUAGAAUUCCACGUGUAGCAGUGAAAUGCGUAGAGAUGUGGAGGAAUACCGAUGGCGAAGGCAGCCCCCUGGGCCAAUACUGACGCUCAUGCACGAAAGCGUGGGGGAGCAAAACAGGAUUAGAUACCCUGGUAGUCCACGCCCUAAACGAUGUCAACUAGUUGUUGGGGAUUCAUUUCCUUAGUAACGUAGCUAACGCGUGAAGUUGACCGCCUGGGGGAGUACGGUCGCAAGAUUAAAACUCAAAGGAAUUGACGGGGUCAUAGCUGUUUCCU